rnacentral:rRNA from 1 species
GAUCAUGGCUCAGGACGAACGCUGGCGGCGUGCUUCAUACAUGCAAGUCGAACGAGAAGCUCUCUUCGGAGAGUGGAAAGUGGCGGACGGGUGAGUAAUAUGUAGAGAAUCUGCCCUUGAGCGGGGGACAACAGAGGGAAACUUCUGCUAAUACCCCAUAUGAGCUUAGUUGAAAUACUAAUUUUGAAAACUCCGGUGCUCAAGGAUGAGUCUGCAUCUGAUUAGCUAGUUGGUGGUGUAAUGGACUACCAAGGCGACGAUCAGUAGCUGGUUUGAGAGGAUGAUCAGCCACAAUGGGACUGAGACACGGCCCAUACUCCUACGGGAGGCAGCAGUAGGGAAUUUUGCGCAAUGGGCGAAAGCCCUGACGCAGCAACGCCGCGUGAACGAUUAAGCCCUUCGGGGUGUAAAGUUCUGUCAGUAGGGACGAAUUUUGACGGUACCUACAGAGGAAGCACCGGCUAACUCCGUGCCAGCCGCUGC